rnacentral:rRNA from 1 species
CUUAGUGCUUGCACUGGGUGGAUGAGUGGCGAACGGGUGAGUAAUACGUGAGUAACCUGCCCUUGACUCUGGGAUAAGCCUGGGAAACUGGGUCUAAUACUGGAUAUGACCUCCUGUCGCAUGGUGGGGGGUGGAAAGGGUUUGUACUGGUUGUGGAUGGGCUCACGGCCUAUCAGCUUGUUGGUGGGGUAAUGGCCUACCAAGGCGACGACGGGUAGCCGGCCUGAGAGGGUGACCGGCCACACUGGGACUGAGACACGGCCCAGACUCCUACGGGAGGCAGCAGUGGGGAAUAUUGCACAAUGGGCGCAAGCCUGAUGCAGCGACGCCGCGUGAGGGAUGACGGCCUUCGGGUUGUAAACCUCUUUCAGCACGGAAGAAGCGAAAGUGACGGUACGUGCAGAAGAAGCGCCGGCUAACUACGUGCCAGCAGCCGCGGUAAUACGUAGGGCGCAAGCGUUGUCCGGAAUUAUUGGGCGUAAAGAGCUCGUAGGCGGUUUGUCGCGUCUGCUGUGAAAGCCCGGGGCUUAACCCCGGGUGUGCAGUGGGUACGGGCAGACUUGAGUGCAGUAGGGGAGACUGGAACUCCUGGUGUAGCGGUGAAAUGCGCAGAUAUCAGGAAGAACACCGAUGGCGAAGGCAGGUCUCUGGGCUGUUACUGACGCUGAGGAGCGAAAGCAUGGGGAGCGAACAGGAUUAGAUACCCUGGUAGUCCAUGCCGUAAACGUUGGGCACUAGGUGUGG